CCUACGGGCUGCAGCAGUGGGGAAUAUUGGACAAUGGGCGAAAGCCUGAUCCAGCCAUGCCGCGUGUGUGAAGAAUGCCUUCGGGUUGUAAAGCACUUUCAGUGGGGAAGAAAGCCUUGGGGCUAAUACCCUCGAGGAAGGACAUCACCCACAGAAGAAGCACCGGCUAACUCCGUGCCAGCAGCCGCGGUAAUACGGAGGGUGCGAGCGUUAAUCGGAAUUACUGGGCGUAAAGCGCGCGUAGGCGGUCUGAUAAGCCGGUUGUGAAAGCCCCGGGCUCAACCUGGGAACGGCAUCCGGAACUGUCAGGCUAGAGUGCAGGAGAGGAAGGUAGAAUUCCCGGUGUAGCGGUGAAAUGCGUAGAGAUCGGGAGGAAUACCAGUGGCGAAGGCGGCCUUCUGGACUGACACUGACGCUGAGGUGCGAAAGCGUGGGUAGCAAACAGGAUUAGAUACCCUUGUAGUC
rnacentral:rRNA from 1 species